rnacentral:lncRNA from 1 species
CCAUUUUGUCUCGGCAGCGGUGGCCGUAGCUCCAUCGCAUUUUAUGUUUCUGGCGAGAAGGGAACGGAGUUUUCAUCAGGUAGAUUGGUUUUUGUGCGGCCGUCCUCCACCGUUUCCUCCAGGACAGCACCUAGUCGUGGCCGGAGGAGUCUCAGAGCUGUCAGAAAGAAUAAGACUGAUUUUAUGGGAAAAUUAAGCAGAUGCUCCAGUUUGAGAAACCUGGAUCUGCGAUCUGUUUGUGGUACCAGCAUCAAGAUGAUUUAUGGUAAUAAGGUACUCAGUCUUUGCUUAAAAUAAAUUUUACGUUUAUCAAAGUAAAAUUUACCAGCUUUUUUUCCUAAAGAGGCUAGUCAUAUCUCAUCAGUGGUUACAAAGUCAUUUCUUUCAUCUAUAGAAAAUAAAAUGUAUACUGUUCAUCAGAAGAACAUUUUCCACUUGUGUAAUAACUAUUUUCACUUUUAUACUCAGAUAUAAAACCAAGGAAAAUAACCUAAAGUCUGAAAAAGACCAGAAUCGAAGUUUCCUGAUUCAUAUUUUAAUGUUUUGAAAUUUAUACUCCAGGCUGGGUGCAGUGGCUUGUGCCUGUAAUCCCAGCACUUUGGGAGGCCGAGGCGGCCGGAUUGCCUGAAGUCAGAAGUUCGAGACCAGCCUGACCAACAUGGUGAAACCCUGUCUCUACUUAAAAAUACAAAAGAGCUGGGCAUGGAGGUGGUGCGCGCCUGUAACCCUAGCUACUCGGGAGGCUGAGGCCUAAGAAUCUCUUGAACCCAGGAGGCAGAGGUUGUAGUGAGCCGGGAUCACGCCACUGCACUCUAGCCUGGGCGACAGAGAGAGAGACUGUCUAAAAAAGGAAAAGAAAAAAAUUUAUACGCCAAAAAAGAUAUUCUGAGAUAACCUGUAGUUACCACUAACUUUGUGACAAAAUUAUAAAAAUCCACAGCCAUCUAUGAAUCUGUAGGCAGACCUGAAGUUUGAACGACUGGUGAAGACAUCUGAUUUUCUUUAUAGCCAAGUUAGGAUAACAAAAUGCAAACAAGUCAUUAAUAUUUACUAUAUGCAAGAUACAGAAAGAUGAAGGAAGGAGUAAGAAGUUAUCCUUCGUGGAACUAUUCAAAGCAAAAAUGCAAAAUACCAGGGAAAGCUUUGAAGAACCAAGAUUUGAGCAGGUUCUUAGAAUAUAGAUUGGAUUGGAUUUGAUUUCAAGAAAGAUGAACGUGUAAAGCAGAAGUGGGAAGCCAAAAACUUUUUUCCAAAUUAGAAUUAAGCAUUCUUUCAAUGAACAUUUGGAAAUCAAGGUAGAAAAAUAUCCCUAGGGCCUAGCUGAGGAGUCUGUAUGUUGUUGGGUUUUGAUAGUAACCAGUCCAAGAUUUUGUUAUUAGACGUGGGUUUCUGAAUAGACAGGCAUUUCUGAACAGACAUGACAGGAUCAAAACAAUGUUUGAGCAAACUGCCCUUCAUCUACUGUGGAUAUGUUGGGGGAUGAUGGAAUAUAGUGAAAGAUAAUGGGUGCUCAUACAGCAGUCUAGACUUAAGGUGAUUCAACUACUAUAUAUUAAACUAGAUUAUCUUUUAUUUUUUAAUUUUGAAAUCUGGAUGCUCAAGCUCUGCCUGCACAACCACAUGAGGAAGAAGGAACAAUGACAACAAAAAUAACACUAAAUUUAAAUUUAAGAGUACUACUUUUAGGAAAUAGACAAACCAUUAUUUGGGUACAACUAAAGGCAACUGGCAUGGACUCAAAUAUUUUGGGGAAGAAAAAGACUAAAAGUUCUAAGGAAGAAAAUGCGAACCUUGAUAGUUUGAAAUAGUUAAAAAGACAGUGUAGAAACUGCUUAGGCAGUUUGAUUAUGGACUAUUAGAUGAUACUUGGGUCUGAUAAUGGUAUAAGGAGAAUAAAGUAUUUAGGGAUCCAAUAUUACGCCUGCAGCUUUUUCCAAAUAGUUCAUGGGGGAGGGGGAUGUGUAAGUGGUUAACUGAAGUCUAACUAGAUAGGUUUGUUGUAAGCUUAGGAUGUUUACAGUUCUUCAUGUUAAGUUGAGCGUGAUGGGAAGGGAAAGAAUGCUGAUCUUUAAAUUUUUGUCCUUAGUUAAGUUCUGUAUUUAGUGAAUUAAUUGCAUCCUAAAAAGUCAAACUUGAAAAGCACAUUUUAAAUGGCAAAUCUAUUUUUUACAUGUUUGUGAAGUUUUUAUUUUUUAGUAAACAGACCAUCAGAAGAGAACAAUGGUACAGAGCAGGGGUCAGCAGAUGGAUUUUGUAAAGCAUCAACUUGUAAAUAUUUUCAAGUUUAUUAGCUGUAUGGCUCUGGUUUCUGUUCCCUGUUCCAAAUGUUAAAGUCUACUGUUGUAUUCUAAAAGCAGCCAUGGACUGAAUGUAGCUGUGUUCCAAUAAAACUUACACAAAAGCAGGCAGUGGGCCAUAAUUUGCAACACCUGAUUCACAGCAUAAUUUUGUCACAAACUGAAAGUGUUCCUCAAUUAAAGUGAUUUUUUUUUCUUG